UAGUAAAUCCGACGAGCUUUUAAAUUUAUUUGAAGAGUUUUGUAUAUUUGGAAUGCAUUUCUUUCUACUGCGUUAAUUUAAUUUAUAUACCUUCCUAGUAGCAUAAAAUUGAACGUAAACAUAAAAAUUAAUAAACUCGAGGAAUAUUCGUAUAAUGAAAAUAUAAAAUAUGUAUUAAGAUCGGUUUCUCCAGCUUAGUUUGCAAUCUUCGUAUGUAUCAUUUUGAACGGAACUAGAAAUAAGUCCUUAUUAACAAACUCAGCGUACUAUUGACUUUCGACAGUGCUGUUUUGUUGUGAAAUUGUUAUAAUACAUCUGGGCUGUAGGGCGGCUGCGGAAGCGUAGAGAUGCCGGCUUUGGUUAAGGUCCGUAUCCAGCUCUUAAGUAAUUGCUCAAGAAAAAAAUCCUUAUUUCUUGAGCUGUAGUCAAGUAAUUUUAACAGCUGGUUAUGCAUUGUGAAUGAUGCACAUUAGAAGAGCAAGUGAAAAUAAACAAAGAAAUUAAACUUAUGUGUAUUAUGUUAUGUUAUUAUAGUAUUUAAAUAUUUUCAUUGCGAUUUAAGGAAUAUGGAUGAAGACUGAAUAACACAACACCAGAAUGAACCGCAAUAGCAGAUUGGUUCAUCCUUAGCAGAGCGAGACAGUUUUCUAAAGGUUUAACGUUACGUAUUGUGCAAUCAUGGAAUAAAAAUUAACCAUUUCUUUCCUAUGUAUUUCUUGUUUGUAAAUUUCAGUAAAUUUGUUAAACGUGCGCUUUUAUGCUUCGUUAACGCCUCAUACAUUUUGAUAAUAAAAGAAGUUCAAAAUAA